AAACAGGUGUUUCUAAACACCACAAACUCCCAACAUCAUCUCGUG
rfam:Monosiga brevicollis MX1 MONBRscaffold_28 genomic scaffold, whole genome shotgun sequence.